GGGAAUAGAUAAUCUGAGUUUAACAGUAACCACAUUUGCAUAGGGUUUUACUGUUUCCUUUUCUCAUUCAUUUGCCAUUUGAGCCUAAUGAAAGCCUGUGACAGUCAGGAAGGUGAGGAAUUUUUAUGUCUAUUUUACAGAUGAGGAAACUGAGGCCUACUGAGGUGAAGUGACUUCUUUACUCUACUGCAAACAAAGCCCUGACCCAGACUUUGUGAUGUUCUUCUGCUACAACAACCUUCAGAGAUUGCAGCCCCCAUUGACAGCCGGACUACAACCUUAUGAGAGACCCUGAGCUGGAACCACCCAGGUAUACUACUCCUGGCUUCGUGGCCCUUAGAAAUGACUCUUGCUACUCAAUGUGUGAUUCGGGAACCAGCUGCAGCAGCGUCACUGGGGAGCUUGUCGGAAAUGCAGCCACUCAAGCCCUGCUUCAGACAUCCUAAACCAGAAUCUGCAUUUUAACAAGAUCCCCAGGAAGAAAUUCUGGAACCUUGUCAGGACUGAUGCUGCUCCUAGGGUGAAGUGAAGCACAACAGAUAGGUGAACAGACUAGCUGAGACCUGGCUUACCUUUCAUGCAUUGCGAUAAUAAUGGUUGGAGGAAGCAAAGAAACUAGUGAAUUUAUAGAGAGCAAUUUGAGAUUUCCCAUGAAAAUUAUUCUAGAAAUGUGAAGUAUCUUGUUUCUGACCAACUAAGAAUUGAAAUUUUGGUUGUCACAGAUUUUACAUGAUUUUUCUUAAAAAUGUCUAUUCACUACCACACAGAAGUCAAAGAAUAAGAGGCUUUUCACAUUUUUUAAGAAAUAGCAAAGAAGGAAAAGCACUUAAUCUUACUGAGCCUUUAUAAAGCAAAAAUAUUUAGUUGGCUGUGAAGGGGAAGAAAAUGUGCUAUAGAAAACAGAAAAUAUAGCUUUUAGGCAGAUAGGCUGCUUUUUAAAAGAUGACUCUGAUUCCAGGACAAUGACAUAAGAGUUGAAGUGUUAUUUCCUAGUCCCUAUUACAUUUUAACUGUCAAUGAUACUUAAGUAAUGGAAAAUUAUGUUUGUAUGUUUAAAGUAACUAUAAAUUAUACAUUCAUUACAAAACAUUUAUCCCUUGUCUAUUUAUAUACAAUUAUAGCCUUGCUGUCCAGCAUUUUAGAGAACAGGAUGUUGGUUAAUAAAAAUGCCAGUUAAGUAAGUGUUCAUUUUCUCUGAGUUAGUCUCUCUUAUUUCAUUCCUCAUUCUUCCCUACUAAAACGGGCAAAAGACACAUAUCCCAUGUGUCUAAAAAUUAGCAAGAACAAUAAACAACUCUAACUAAAGUCUCCACUGUUUUUCUAGUUUUUUAACAUUGUCUGGCAUUGUCAUUCAGUAAAAAGUUUGUAUGACAGACUAUCAGACAUGCUGAAUCUAGAGUUUCCUAGUUAGUAAAAUACUAGAUACAAAGUUUGGCUGUAAUUAUGCUUUUUGAAAUAUAGUAUAUACAUAUAUAUUUUAUAUACAUGUAAUAUAUACAAUAUAAUUUCUACUAGACUGUAAGCUCCAUGAGGGUAGUGACUAUUUUUCACUUCUGUAUUCACAGACUAUAGCAUAGUAGCUGAAUUAUAGUAAGCAUAUGAUGCAUUUAUUUACUCAUUGACUGAUAUUUAUUAUCUACCAUAUUUCAGGUACUAUUUCUAGAUGCUAAGGAUAUAGGAUUAAAAGAAGGAAGAAAAAGUUUCUGCUCUCAUUGUGUUAUAUUCUAGUAGAGAAUAACAAAUAAAUAGGUAAAAUAUAUAGUACAUACUUUAAGAGAAAGAAAUAAAGCUUUGCAAGUGUUGGAAAACAAUGAGUAUAAGUAUGACUAUGAGAUGAUACCUUUAUUGGGUGGUUGUAGUAGAAGCUGUGUUGUGCCACCCAGAUCUUCCUUCAGGACAAGGCACUCAUUCCUCUAGCUGCCUGGAAUGUUGGCUGCUGAGGGCUCACAGCUCAGUCAGUCUCCAGGAAUUGUCUUUGGUAGAAGGAAGCUGCCUUGCCUGAGGUCAUGCCCCUCUUUGGGGGAGCCUGUAUCCAGUAAAGGGCUCAUACAGUGGUACAGAGCUCCUUUGCCUCAACUGGAACAAUUCUGAGGGUCCAUCUGAGCUCCAGAGCUCCGCAUAGGAUCAGCUGAGGCCUCUGCUGCAACUGCAUCACAGUUCAACUUCUCCCUCGUCUCUAUCCUGCUCCCCUCAUCUUCAUCCAUCAGAGAUGUUGGUCCCAAACACACUCCAUAUUAAACUUCCUCAUGCAAAUCUCAGAUUCUUAGAGUGAAAAGUGUAGAGUGGUGUUUGGAUUGUAUUCUAAGUGCAGUUGUCAAAUAGGUACUUGAUAUUUGAUUCUGGAGUUCAGGGGAGAAGUGGGGCUGAGGAUGUGAAUCUGGAAGUUGCAGCAGUGGCUAAAGCCAUAAGAUUAAAUAAAAAUUACCCUGGAAGUAAGGAUAAAUAUAGAAUAAAAGAAGACUGAGGGCAGAGUUUUGAAACUCUCCACAUUUAGAGAUCAAGAGUAAUGGGAAGAUUCAGCAAAGACGACUGAAAAAAAGCAGCCACUGAGAAGCAGAACUGAAGAGCGGUGUCCCGUAACCAAGAGGAAAACGCGCCGCAAGGAAGGAGGGAAUGAUAAACUGGGUCAAAUGCUAUAGACAGGUUGAGUUGAUGAAAACUGAGUUGACCAUUACAUUUGGCAACAUGGAGGUCAUUGGUGACAAAGACAGCUUCAGUGGAAUGGUGGGGACAAAAGCUUAAUUUGUUGAAUGAAUAUAACACAUCUUAUGAGUUGAGAUUUAUUAAAUGCCUAUGAUGUUGAUACAAUUUGACCUUACUGAUGAAGGUCAAACACU